AGCAAUCUUCGUGAGUUCGUCGAUCCAAGGUAAGAGAGUAGAUUUCAUAUUCGUGGGUGACUCGAGGAAGGGGAGAAUGUCGAUUUCUCCUCACCCGAACUUCCUCCACCCCAUUUUCAUUUUAGUUUUGGAUGGAUUUUCUUAAUGGAAAUCGAUUCUAAGGUUCAUAACAUGCUUAAUAUGCUUUUAACAUGAUGUAUGAACGAAUUUAAUGGUUAGAAACGAAGUUUAUGAAUGAUUAAACUCAAGAACUUUGUGUUCUUGAGAGUUUUGAGUAAAAGUGUUAAAUCUCUACUUUUUCGUAGUAAAAAUGGUAGAUCGGUGAAAUGAACCGUCCUUUUGUGU
rnacentral:lncRNA from 1 species